rnacentral:rRNA from 1 species
GGUNGCUNCCUUCCCACGCUUUCGUCCCUCAGCGUCAGUUAAAUCUUAGUGACCUGCCUUCGCAAUUGGUGUUCUAAGUAAUAUCUAUGCAUUUCACCGCUACACUACUUAUUCCAGCCACUUCAAAUUUACUCAAGACCUGCAGUAUCAAUGGCAGUUUCACAGUUAAGCUGUGAGAUUUCACCACUGACUUACAGAUCCGCCUACGGACCCUUUAAACCCAAUAAAUCCGGAUAACGCUUGCACCCUCCGUAUUACCGCGGCUGCUGGCACGGAGUUAGCCGGUGCUUAUUCGUACAGUACCUUCAGCUUCCCACACGUGGAAAGGUUUAUCCCUGUACAAAAGAAGUUUACAACCCAUAGGGCCGUCGUCCUUCACGCGGGAUGGCUGGAUCAGGCUCUCACCCAUUGUCCAAUAUUCCUCACUGCUGCCUCCCGUAGGAGUCUGGUCCGUGUCUCAGUACCAGUGUGGGGGAUCACCCUCUCAGGCCCCCUAAAGAUCAUUGACUUGGUGAGCCGUUACCUCACCAACUAUCUAAUCUUGCGCGUGCCCAUCUCUAUCCGCCGGAGCUUUCAAUGUCGAAUGAUGCCAUUCAACAUAUUAUGGGGUAUUAAUCUUCCUUUCGAAAGGCUAUCCCCCAGAUAAAGGCAGGUUGCACACGUGUUCCGCACCCGUGCGCCGCUCUCAAUUGCCCGAAAGCAAUCUACCGCUCGGCUUNAUGUGUUAGGCCUCCCGCUAGCGUUCAUCCUGAGCCA